UUAAACCAUAGCCAAAUGCACUGCAAAUCUACUCCGGUGGCCUAUGCGUCUAAUCCUCUACAACCUGGUUUCCUGCAAAAAGGACAACGAGAGUUGGGUGAGUAACAUAAGGUCCCUCAGUGAACAUGCUACCUCUACCCAAAACCUAGUAGCUAGCCCCGACAACCCCAAAGUAACAAUCAACUUAGCCUAAGCGCAAUAAACAAAGCUUAAGGCUAAUCCGAAAACACACCGACUAAGGUAUGCUCAACCUUAAUCUAAUAACAAUCCUUGGCCACACGGCCAACUACUAAAACGGAUCCCUUACAAGUCUAACAAUCAAGACUCGAUUAAAGACAACACCAUAUCUCGGUGCUAACACUGACUCGAGGGUUCCACAACCCCCAACACAAAUAAGACUACUCGUCACGACAUAACACUCUAACUCGGACCCUGGUGACAUCGUGUUCAUCUUCUCUAUCGGCAAUAUCCUAUUCCCCUACCACAAAGGCCAGAAGAAGGAACUUUCAACCGACAGCGGCCCACAGUCCUUCGGGUCACCGCGCGACAGCCCACAGU
rnacentral:lncRNA from 1 species